rnacentral:rRNA from 1 species
GAUGGACGCUGUCGGCAUGCCUAAUUCAUGCACGUCUAGCGACCAUACUAGGACCUUGCUCUUCUCUCGUAGGCUGCGGCCGGGUCAGUACCGCGUGACUAACCUACGUGUAAGACUGGGAUAACUUCCGCCAACGGGAGCUAAUACCGCAUAAUAUUUUGAACCGCUGGAUCAAAUAGUGAUAGACGCUUUUGCGGUCACGUAUCGAUGGACCCGCGCCGCAUUAGCUAGUUGGUAAGGUAACGGCUUACCAAGGCAACGAUGCGUAGCCGUCCUAAGAGGGGGAUCGGCCACCCGGGAACGGGCACAAGGCCCGGACCACUACGGGAGUCAGCAGUAGGGAAUUUUCAGCAAUGGGCGCAGACCUGACGCAGCAACGCCCAGUGAGUGAUUAAGGUCUUCGGAUCGUAAAACUCUGUUAUCAGUGAAGAACAUAUGUGUACGUAAAUAUCCACGUCCUGACGGCACCUAAUCAGAAAGCCGCGGCUACCUUCGUG